rnacentral:lncRNA from 1 species
UGAAGGGAGCUUUCAAGACUUAGGACAUUGACUGGGCUCCUUUACUUAAGAAUCAGCUGAGUAAAUUCUUGAAGUAUACUUCAAGAUAAGUAUGAAGGGGUUUCAAGCUGUUAAAGUAUACCUAAUAACCAUUAUCAAGGCUAAUCCUAGGUAAGUAACACUUAGCCCUAUUGGGAAUGGCUUAAGGGCUGUACCUGUUCCUCUGUAGAUCAAGAUAGAAAUCCUAUUUUAAAAAUUAUUGACAUAGUAAUGGAAUGUUAGCAUUAAUUGAGUGCUUUAGGUGCUGUCUGCAAAUUUUUCAGUUUUGUUGUUUGA